AACUUCAUCUUCUUGGUGAAGUAAUUUUGCAAUGCAAUGCGAGUGAUAAAAAUGACCACAGGUUGCAUUAGCACAACGAAACACCUCAGCACCAGAAGAUUUAUUUGAGUAGCCCAACUCUCCACAAGCAAAGCACUGAUGCUGAUUAUAUUCACAAUUCUUACACAAAAACCUCUCAAUUGCAUCAACUUCCCUCCGUGUAAAGCCAAGAGUGUCACAAUUAGACUCUUCACCAUCUAGUCUUGUUGGAUGAAAUGACCUCAUGCAACUCCCUUCACAACAUAGAAGGGCACCACCAUUGUCACAAAUUGCACAAACAGAAUCAAACAACUCAUCAACUUCAUCAGACUCAUCUUCUACUGCAUCUUCAAGGAUGUCAUCAUCCACAUUAUCAACUAUAAAUGCAGAAACAGUUGUAGCUUUCACAUCCUCAUCAGAGAGCUUUCUCUUCCUUGGCUUUUCCUCAAGAAAUGCGAGUAGGAACUUGGACUUUGCUAACCAAUCAUCCCUUCUAACAGCUUCAGAUAUUAAAGCCAUGUGGUCCACCAAGUCAUUUAGAGAAGGUCUAACAUCGUAUAAACUGAAAACUUUGCACAAGUGGUCCCACACAGAUUUACCAGAUGCCUCUGGAUUCCUCCUUGCAAAAUGAAGACAGUGCACUGUAAUCAGGACUGUCCUAAUUAUUUCCUCGAAGCUCUUCCUUGGCUUUUCCAGUUUGAUCCAAUUAUUCUCCUUGGUGAGCACUGAUAUAUCUGGAAUUUCAUUCAAAAGAUCAAACUUCCAUGCCGUGACUUCCUUGUGUAUGGUCUGAAGUCCAUUAUCUACACUCCCAUGCAAGAACAUCUGUUGUUUUUUCUUUUCAUUGACACUCUCACUUUUGCUCCAUUGAAGUGGUAACACUGAGAAUGAAGUUGGUGCAUCUUCAUCAUCCACAAAAUAAUAGUUUGAGACAGACUGUGGCCCAACAUCGGCCUCAUCGUCUGAAGAUGCCAUGCCCUCAGCCACAGUGAACAACGCCGCGGACGGAUAGGGUAGGCAGUGAGGGAGAGCGGCAAUGGUGAAGGACAAGUCGGUUGCCGUAAAUUGAAAGGCCUAGAGGGAUUUUAAGAGGAUUUUUUUUUUUUUUUUUU
rnacentral:misc_RNA from 1 species